AAAACCAAUGCCCUUCGGGGCUCCUUGGUGAUUCAUAAUAACUUAACGAAUCGCAUGGCCUUGUGCCGGCGAUGGUUCAUUCAAAUUUCUGCCCUAUCAACUUUCGAUGGUAGGGUAUUGGCUUACCAUGGUUUCAACGGGUAACGGGGAAUUAGGGUUCUAUUCCGGAGAGGGAGCCUGAGAAACGGCUACCACAUCCAAGGAAGGCAGCAGGCGCGCAAAUUACCCAAUCCCGACACGGGGAGGUAGUGACAAUAAAUACUGAUACAGGGCUCUUUUGGGUCUUGUAAUUGGAAUGAGUACAAUUUAAAUCCCUUAACGAGGAACAAUUGGAGGGCAAGUCUGGUGCCAGCAGCCGCGGUAAUUCCAGCUCCAAUAGCGUAUAUUAAGUUGUUGCAGUUAAAAAGCUCGUAGUUGAACCUUGGGCCUGGCUGGCCGGUCCGCCUCACCGCGUGCACUGGUCCGGCCGGGCCUUUCCUUCUGGGGAGCCGCAUGCCCUUCACUGGGUGUGUCGGGGAACCAGGACUUUUAC
rnacentral:rRNA from 1 species